AACGGGUGAGUAAUACAUCGGAACGUGCCCGAUCGUGGGGGAUAACGCAGCGAAAGCUGUGCUAAUACCGCAUACGAUCUACGGAUGAAAGCGGGGGACUCGCAAGGGCCUCGCGCGGACGGAGCGGCCGAUGGCAGAUUAGGUAGUUGGUGGGAUAAAAGCUUACCAAGCCGACGAUCUGUAGCUGGUCUGAGAGGACGACCAGCCACACUGGGACUGAGACACGGCCCAGACUCCUACGGGAGGCAGCAGUGGGGAAUUUUGGACAAUGGGCGCAAGCCUGAUCCAGCCAUGCCGCGUGCAGGAUGAAGGCCUUCGGGUUGUAAACUGCUUUUGUACGGAACGAAAAAGCCUUCUCUAAUAAAGGGGGUGAAUGACGGUACCGUAAGAAUAAGCACCGGCUAACUACGUGCCAGCAGCCGCGGUAAUACGUAGGGUGCAAGCGUUAAUCGGAAUUACUGGGCGUAAAGCGUGCGCAGGCGGUUAUGUAAGACAGAGGUGAAAUCCCCGGGCUCAACCUGGGAACUGCCUUUGUGACUGCAUAGCUGGAGUGCGGCAGAGGGGGAUGGAAUUCCGCGUGUAGCAGUGAAAUGCGUAGAUAUGCGGAGGAACACCGAUGGCGAAGGCAAUCCCCUGGGCCUGCACUGACGCUCAUGCACGAAAGCGUGGGGAGCAAACAGGAUUAGA
rnacentral:rRNA from 1 species